UAGGGAAUAUUGCACAAUGGGGAAACCCUGAUGCAGCGACGCCGCGUGAGUGAUGAAGGCCUUCGGGUCGUAAAGCUCUGUCGUAUGGGACUAACAAAAUGAAGGUACCAUGCAAGAAAGGAUCGGCUAACUUCGUGCCAGCAGCCGCGGUAAGACGAGGGAUCCUAGCGUUGUUCGGAAUUAUUGGGCGUAAAGCGGGUGUAGGCGGACUUAUAAGUCAGGUGUGAAAUCCCAGGGCUCAACCCUGGAAGUGCACUUGAUACUGCAAGUCUUGAGUGUGGUAGAGGCUAUUAGAAUUCCUGGUGUAGUGGUGAAAUACGUAGAUAUCAGGAGGAAUACCGGAGGCGAAGACGGAUAGCUGGGCCAACACUGACGCUGAGACCCGAAAGCGUGGGGAUCAAACAG
rnacentral:rRNA from 1 species